rnacentral:tRNA from 5 species
GGAGUGUUGUCCGAGUGGCUUAAGGAGCAUGAUUGGAAAUCAUGUAUAUGGGUUAAUCCUGUAUCGAGAGUUCAAAUCUCUCACACUCCGCUA